AUCACGCAUUCUCCAUUCCCAUCUCCUUCGCUGCUUUCCUUCUCGGCCACUUCUGCUUUUCAUUUUUUUCAUUCGACGAAGUUCGGUCUCCCUCAAAUUCUCUCUCUCUCUCUCUCCGUGUAUUUCCCUCACGCCAGCAUCCCCAUCCCACCGUAAACCCUCAUUUCUUUCUCCACCUCACGCCCACGCAUCCGAGUCUCCAUCCUCCUCAGUCAACUCCAGCAUCUUGAAGACCAUCGACUUCUCCAUCGAGUUUUGUCGGCCACAGAAUCCAUUCACCACUGCAGCAACCGAUCAGCACUUCGGCCUCAAGAAGUUGACUCCGUUCCUCUCACCCGUGGCCACGUCUCGCCUCAAAUCGAAGACCAACCCUGCUCCACUGCUGAGUCUUCAUUUCCUUCGGUCUUCACGUCUGCCGCUUCAUUGGUUCCUUCGCUGUUGGUGUCUCCAUCUUACUGCGUGAGACCGACCGAAGCAGCACACGCCCGCGCAGCAACUCCACGCGGCCAACGUUCAGCUGUUCCUCGAGUCUUCCGUGUGUGCAGCCAACCGAAGCUUUUUCCGCUCGCCGAAGCAAGAUGCCAGCGAGCCGUUUCUCCAUCCAGCUCGGCCCAGAAACAGUCCACGAAAAUUUCAGCUCCUUCUUGGGUUCUUGUUCGGCCUAGCUCCUCCAACACAAGCCCAUCAGCCCACACGAAUCAAGCUCUAGUCCAUUUUCUGCCGCAGCCCAUCCACGAAGACAGCCCAAGUGAAAUUUAGAUUAUUUCAGCCCAAGAAAAAUUGCAGCAGCCCAAGUCUUUGGCCCAUCAACUCCAGCAGCCCACUUGAAGCCCAAGAAGCAGGCCCAAGCCCAAGUCUAAGCCCAGAAAUUUCUGUGGGCUUGCAAGAUUUUGGGCCCAGUCCGAGUAUCCACCGACGCCGCUGAAAAGUUGGAUUUUGGCCGCCCUCGCGGUGAUCUAGUCUCCACUUUUAAUCAAGUCCUUAGACGAUGUUCAUGGAGGACUUGAAGUCGUGGAGUUUAGGGAAGUGAAGGAAGCAGAAUCGACAAAUCUGUUUGACUCGCUAGUCAUAGGAUAGUACCUUUUUGAUUAAGCCGAUAAUUUUGUUAGCGACCUCAUGAUGUAAAUAAACUUAUGUGUUUAUAAAAAGUUGGUUUUGGUUUGAAAAA